GACAUCCACGGAGUCCCCUACGUGAUCAACGUGACUCUGCCAGAUGAGAAGCAAAACUACGUCCAUCGCAUCGGUAGAGUGGGGAGAGCAGAGAGGAUGGGGUUGGCCAUCUCUCUGCUACAUGGAGAAGGAGAAGG